UCCAAGUAAUUGGUAAAUAGAAUAUAGUCACAUAAUAAAAAAAGCAAUAAGACAUAAACGCAAACCAGGAGAUUGAGGUCGAAGAGGAGGCAAAGUGGGCCCGAUUCUUUUCGUUUGCUUUUUAAAUCGAGAAAAGAGCAAUCCGGCGAAUGAUAUGGCUAAGGCAGCUCCUAGUUGAAGCACAAACAGAUGAUCAAAUGCGUAACAUGUGAAGAUUGAGAAGAAAGAUUUGAUUUGAUGGCAAAGAAUUUCGAUGUGUUGGAGAAAUAUUGAACAUAGGAUGAUUAUAAUGGAUGAGAAGUCGAUCACGAGACUGUGUCUUGGAAUGGAACGAACAUAGCCAGAUGCGUUUCGUUUUUGCAGGCAGAUUCUGAAACCCAAUCUUGCGUCAUAGCGGUUUCCGUGAUGAUUGUGCACAUAUGUGUUCUCUUGGCUUCAGUAGAUUGGGUGCAUUAUUUGAGGUAUGCGUAUCUCCAAUCAUUUGUUUAUUAAUGCGAGGACUAUAGUUUAUCUUCAGAGAUGAAAUCGAUUGUUAAUUCUAAAUCUAGUUAUAAGUCUAUUGGAGGGAGGAAGAAGAUGAAUAAAACAAGUUUAAGUCAAAAAAAAAAGUGAGACAGUCUAUUUUAGGUUUUUGUUUUUGUUUUGUCACUCUGGUUCUGGAACUGAUUCCGUUAAGUCUUUGGCAUGUGUCUCUGGGUUACUUGUUUACCCGUCAGCUUAUGUAUCUGGAUGUAAAUAUAUGCAA